rnacentral:rRNA from 1 species
CAGUCGCCGCGGUAAUACAGAGGGUGCAAGCGUUAAUCGGAAUUACUGGGCGUAAAGCGCGCGUAGGUGGUUCGCCAAGUUGGAUGUGAAAUCCCCGGGCUCAACCUGGGAACUGCAUCCAAAACUGGUGAGCUAGAGUACGGUAGAGGGUAGUGGAAUUUCCUGUGUAGCGGUGAAAUGCGUAGAUAUAGGAAGGAACACCAGUGGCGAAGGCGACUACCUGGACUGAUACUGACACUGAGGUGCGAAAGCGUGGGGAGCAAACAGGAUUAGAUACCCCUGUAGUCCCUGUCUCUUAUAC